UGUUUAAAAUAGUGUGGAAUAUUUGGUUGUAGGGUUGUUUCGCCAAAUGGGAGUGUGUGUUCUGGUGGAAUAACUUGAAUUGUAUAAGAUAAGAAUUUGUUCUUUGGGGGGAUGAAGAAUGAUGUCGUACUAUAUUUGGGUCACUGGGUGUGCAUCUAUCAUGCAUGAAAGAGUGACCUUAAGGAGUUUUCUCUCUAUGUGAUGCCGAAGUUAGACAUCGAUUGAGGAUGAUGAUUUUUUUUGUUUCAAGUGAGUAGUUUCGUAUGUAGAUCUAUAUGUUUAUGAGUGUAAUGUAAGCGAGAUAAGGUGGGUAAGAACUCUGUUCUUAGUUUUCCUUUGUGUAAUUCUAGAUUAAGAAUCCACUUACUUCUUCUAAGGCUCUUCUUCCUUGUUUUAUAUAGUUG
rnacentral:lncRNA from 1 species